rnacentral:misc_RNA from 1 species
AAAGUCGUAACAAGGUUUCCGUAGGUGAACCUGCGGAAGGAUCAUUAAUACGUAUCCAACGUUAAACCCCCCUGUGAACUUUCAUAUCCUGCUCUCGAACCGCUAGACCUGCAAUCCCUGGUAAAUCAUUGUUGAACAGAUUUUGAUUCAGGGACUUCACGUUUACGUCUAGAUCAAUUCGAGCGGUUACGUUCAAGUGGCUGGCUUUCCCCAAGCACAAUCGUUGUUCUGAAAGUGUCAAUGAUUGGUCGCCCGGAAUCGCGCGGAGGUUCGCCUUGCACAUAUGUGUCGGGAGGACGCUUCUCGCUCACUAGAGGCCGAACACCGGCCGGUGACCAGAAACUGCGGCCUCGAUGCCUCCCUAUAUUUACCCCACUACUAAUACUUAGCCUACCAGGAAACUGCUAGGUCAAACCGAACAACUGUUAACAAUGGAUAUCUUGGUUCUC